GAAGAGAGAAAGGGAUAUUGGAUUUUGCUCAACAAGCAUGUUUCUGUCCUUCUUCUCCAUUUUCCAUUUCAAGAUGCUGUUUCUUGUUACUUUGAAGCCCUUCUGCUAGUUAAAUAUUCAGUAACUUCUUAGUUCAUUUUAAUGAUAUUACAAAUAUAUGCCAUAUAAUAACCUUUUUCUUCUUUUCUUUUUAAACUUGGCUAGUUCAUCAUCCAACAGAUGGAGAUGGUGUGGCAACCUCCAAAACCAGUCAUUUAUAAAUAAUUUUUUUUUGAAAUUGCAAUUUAUGAUAUAGAAAAUCAUGAGUUUGUAUAUAUUCUCGCUCUACGACAGAAGAACAGUCUUUUUUCUUUACUUUUGGGUUCUUAAUAAGUUGAUGAAGUCUCAGGUUUAUAUUUAAUGAUUUAAUUUCAUUUUUCAUGCAGAAGAUUGUAGCAUGGAGAAAAC
rnacentral:misc_RNA from 1 species